rnacentral:snRNA from 1 species
GAAUGUGAGGGCCAUCUGGCUGGGACAUCUGUCACACGUUGAUUGCCAGGGUUGAUUGGGCUGAUCUGGCUGGCUAGGCAGAUGUCCCCUUCCUCCCUCACCGUUCCACAUGAGUCCCUCCCACAGCUGCAUGCUCAAAGAGGACGACCUUCCCUGAUGGAGGAGGACCAUUCCUCAGUCAAGGGUUUAGGAGUCCCUGCGCUCUCCUGCCAGAACCUCCAAACAAGGUAUACGUAUGUGUAAAUUAACAUUUUAUUUUCUUUAUAUAUAAUAUACCUAUGUACGAGCACAAUAGAAAAUA